rnacentral:rRNA from 1 species
UGGGGAAUAUUGGACAAUGGGCGAAAGCCUGAUCCAGCCAUGCCGCGUGUGUGAAGAAGGUCUUCGGGUUGUAAAGCUCUUUUGUCAGGGAAGAAACGGUGAGGGCUAAUAUCCUUUGCUAAUGACGGUACCUGAAGAAUAAGCACCGGCUAACUACGUGCCAGCAGCCGCGGUAAUACGUAGGGUGCAAGCGUUAAUCGGAAUUACUGGGCGUAAAGCGUGCGCAGGCGGUUAUGUAAGUCAGAUGUGAAAUCCCCGGGCUCAACCUGGGAAUGGCAUUUGAGACUGCAUGGCUAGAGUGUGUCAGAGGGGGGUAGAAUUCCACGUGUAGCAGUGAAAUGCGUAGAGAUGUGGAGGAAUACCGAUGGCGAAGGCAGCCCCCUGGGAUAACACUGACGCUCAUGCACGAAAGCGUGGGGAGCAAACAGGAUUAGAUACCCCAGUAGUCCCUGAGCGGGCUGGCAAGGCGCAU